CACCGCCCGUCGCUCCUAUCGAUUGAAUGAUCGACGUGGGCGGUUCGCUGCUCGCGACGUCGCGAGAAGUACACUGAACCUUAUCAUUUAGAGGAAGGAGAGGAAGGAGAAGUCGUAACAAGGUUUCCGUAAGUGAACCUGCGGAAG
rnacentral:ncRNA from 1 species